rnacentral:rRNA from 1 species
UACGUAGGGGGCGAGCGUUGUCCGGAUUUACUGGGCGUAAAGGGCGCGCAGGCGGUCUGGCAAGUUUGGAGUGACAGUGCUCGGCUUAACUGAGCAAGGCCUUCGAAAACUGCUAGACUUGAGCACUCAAGAGGGACAUAGAAUUCCGGGUGGAGUGGUGAAAUGCGUAGAUAUCCGGAGGAAUACCAAAGGCGAAGGCAGUGUCCUGGGGAGUGUCUGACGCUCAGGCGCGAAAGCUAGGGGAGCGAACAGG